AUAAUACACAAAGUUGCAUUUGGGAAUGAAAAAGCACAAAGUUGCAUUUGGGAAUGAAAAAGCCAGCCGAAAUUCUUUGAACUUCACGCACACGAUAAUCCACACAAUUUCUUAUUUCAAUACCAUUAUUGCAGAUUUUCGUUUUCUAUGCUUGGUAUCUACCAUAAAAAUCCUAACAAUUAAAACUUCUCAUCUUGAAGCUAUGCCAAUGAAAAUCACAAUUUCUCAUCUUCAAGCUUCAAUUUCUCCAUCUCAAGACAAAACCUUCGUAUUGCUACUGUUGGCUAAUGUCGUCUUUGUCUCCAUCACCUCUGUCUCUAACUUCUGUUUCAUACUGUGUACCUUCAUCUCCAUUUGAUUCAUCUUUGCUAAUUAACUGAUAUCACUACUAUUCUUGCAGUGUUUGAAGCUGAAACAUGUCUCGAUAACACUGAACGUAUUCAUUAUUUGUGUUCGCAAGUUCCGAUUGAGUUCACCGAUUACUAAAAAUCCAAGUAACUGCUUUUUGUUCUUCAUCAGUUCUAUUUGAUUUUGUUUAACUUGGAGGCUAUACAAUGAGAAGUUACACGGUUAGACAUAUUGCAUUAGAUCUUCAAUCCAACCUGCUAUCAAAUCGCUCUGGCUAUUAGAGUUAUUAGAGUGGAGGAGAAGACCUUGAAAAGGGUGGUAUUAGAGUUAUCCAGAUUGAUGAGGCUUCCUUGAGAGAGGUGCUUCCAUUGAGGAAGUCAGAACAUGCUCACUACUUGGACUGGGAUAUCCAUUCCUUCAGGAUCACCAUUCCCCAAUGUUGGUGUUCAGUAUUCCACUCAUAUCCACACUCACAUGUACUACUCAUACUUCAACGACAUCAUUCACUCCAUCAUUGAUAUGAAUCACCAUUGAGAACUCAUAUUCUUACGACAAGCUUUUGUCAAUCUUCUGUGAAGGAGUUGUAUAUGGUGUUGGAAUUGGACCUGGUAUGUAUGACAUCCACUUUCUAAGAGUACCACAUACUGUAUAGAUUGUUGACAGGAUUAAUAUUAAUAAGAUGCUUUAUGUGCUUGAGAAGAACAUUUUGAUCCAGGCUAUUGUUCCAAUGAAGUAGUGUGAGUAUGGAUAGCAAUAGUUGUGAACUUAUGUAUAGAUAGGACCAAAACUUAACUCACUUGAAAAGGUUUUUUUUAUAGUUUGCAGUUAUUGUGAGAAGAUUAGGAAAACUGCUAAUAAAAUCAGUGGGAAGGAGAAGAUUAGAUAGAUUGGAACCUGCAGUAGAAGUUCCAUUGCUUUGAUGUCACUGUUCGGGAACUUCGAAGACUUGAAGAAGGAUUGCCCAUUUAUACUUAUUGGCAGAAAUAAACAGUUAUCCAUUACACUCUGAAGAAGGAUUGCCCAUUUAUACUUAUUGGCAGGCUAUUGUUCCAAUGAAGUAGUUUAUUGUGAGAAGAUUAGGAAAACUGCUAAUAAAAUCAGUGGGAAAGAGAAGAUUAGAUAGAUUGGAACCUGCAGUAGAAGUUCCAUUGCUUUGAUGUCACUGUUCGGGAACUUCGAAGACUUGAAGAAGGAUUGCCCAUUUAUACUUAUUGGCGGAAAUAAACAGUUAUCCAUUACACUCUGGAAUACAGUUCGGUUCUGACUAUAUUGCUUUGAGAGCCUCAUAUACCAGUCAUUUUUUCUUAGUAUGAGGCUUGAAAUUGUUAAUUGCUUCUAUAUUCUUCGCACAAUUUAUAUUGCAUAUGUUGGACCUGUUUGUUUUGCAUUAUUGUUAUUGGCUUUUCACCUUUGUAGGUGAGACUAUACAACUUAUUUGAGUUUGUUGUAGAUUAAA